rnacentral:misc_RNA from 1 species
AAGGAUAUAUUCGGAACAUCUUUUUAGAAGAUGCGGAAUAACGUAGACAUAUUGUAUUCAGUUUUGAAUGUUUAUUAACAUUCAUUUGUACAUUGAAAACUAGAUAAGUAAGUAAAAAUAGAUUUUACCAAGCAAAACCGAGUGAAUAAAGAGUUUUAAAUAAGCUUGAAUUCAUAAGAAAUAAUCGCUAGUGUUCGAAAGAACACUCACAAGAUUAAUAACGCGUUUCAAAUUUAUUUUGUUUAAGAMAGACGUUUAAYGUURGAUUAGCAAAAUGGUGGAAACAUA